rnacentral:tRNA from 1 species
GGGGAUAUAGCUCAGUGGUAAAAUGUGUGCUUAGCAUGCAUAAAGUCCUAGGUUCAAUUCCCAGUACCUCCA